rnacentral:snRNA from 1 species
GGAUGUGAGGGUGAUCUGGCUAUGACUUCUGUCACCCCAUUGAUCACCAGGGUUGAUUUGGCUGAUCUGGCUGGCUAGGCGGAUGUCCCCUUCCUCCCUCACCGCUCCAUGUUUGUCCCUCCAUGUGCGUUGAAGCUGCGAGCUCGGUCAAAGAGGACGGCCUUCCCGGAAUAGAAACAGACCGGUCUUCCGUUGAGGGUAUAGGAGUAGCUGUGCUCCCCUGCUAGAACCUCUGAACAAGCUCUCAAGAAUAGGAAAGCUUUCAAAGGAGGGGAUGGGAUACAGAACUCUGGUGGUGGAAAUUGUGUGGAAUUUUACCCCUUUUA